rnacentral:tRNA from 1 species
AGGAACUUAGUUCAGCUGGUGAGAACACACGUCUUAUAAGCGGGUUGUCGCGGGUUCGAGUCCCGCAGUUCCUA